UGGGGAAUUUUGGACAAUGGGCGCAAGCCUGAUCCAGCAAUGCCGCGUGCAGGAUGAAGGCCUUCGGGUUGUAAACUGCUUUUGUCAGGGAAGAAACGAGUUUCUCUAAUACGGAGACUUAAUGACGGUACCUGAAGAAUAAGCACCGGCUAACUACGUGCCAGCAGCCGCGGUAAUACGUAGGGUGCGAGCGUUAAUCGGAAUUACUGGGCGUAAAGCGUGCGCAGGCGGUUAUAUAAGACGGAUGUGAAAUCCCCGGGCUCAACCUGGGACCUGCAUUUGUGACUGUAUAGCUAGAGUACGGUAGAGGGGGAUGGAAUUCCGCGUGUAGCAGUGAAAUGCGUAGAUAUGCGGAGGAACACCGAUGGCGAAGGCAAUCCCCUGGACCUGUACUGACGCUCAUGCACGAAAGCGUGGGGAGCAAACA
rnacentral:rRNA from 1 species